UCUCUCAUUCAAUACAUAUGGGAUAAAACAAUAUUGGGCCAUUGUAAAUUGAGGUGAAGUCACUUUCAUCUCUUCUUCAUGGUCUAGAUAGUG
ensembl:snoRNA